AGCUUUGCUCAGUGGCAGUAUCAUACCCAAUGAGGUUUAUCCGAGGGGCAAUUAUUGCUAAUUAAAGUCAACUCUUUAAAACAC
ensembl:snRNA predicted gene, 25300